AUGGAGAGAGGAGAGGCUGGAUUCAGUGAGAUCAAUGAAGAGGCUAUCACAGUAAUCCAAAGGAGAGAUCAUGGAAUCCCAAACAAAAUGAAUUACUAUAUGGGGGAUUCACAUUUCCCUGAACAAAGAAAAGUUUUGAGGGGUCUGAUGUAUUUGGUUUAUUCUGAAGCUGAUUCUGGAGUCAGGGCCCCUUCACCCCGGGGGCCUCCUCCAUUGGUGCACUGACAAACUUUGCCUUCUGGAUGAGAAGCCUCUGUUGCCCGCGGGAAUUCUACAGAGAUCCUGUGAGGCCAGGAUGACUUUACUAGCUGGGACCACGUGACUGCAGAGACUUCCGUUGGCUUUUCUGCUUCCUCUGGGCGGAAAGUCCAUCCUGCGUGAGAAAUACACGCUAUUUCCAUGACUUUGAGUCCAAUGAGAUGCCUUGGGAUGAGCCAGGGAAGGAGGCCCCUGCGGUACCUCCUCCUGCCUUGGCGAUGCUUGUUUUUGGAGACACCCUUUCAGGCCCGCAAGAUCUGACUUCAAUGGGGAGGAUCCCCUGCGGCAGAAAGGAGUUCAUUUUAGAGAUGAAGAAAAUGAGGAAAACAGGGUGAAAUGACUUUCCCCAAGUUGCACAUCUAGUAAAUGCUUGCUACAUGCCAGACAAAAUGGUAAGCAUUUUUACAAAUAUUACCUCAUUUGAUCCUCACAAAAACCUGGAAUAGAGGUGCUUUAUUAUAUCUGUUUUACAAUUGAGGAAAGUAGCAUUAAGUGAUUUUCCCUGGGUUACACAACUAACAAGAGCAGAGGCACGAUAUAAACUUGAGACUUCCUGACUCCAAGUUCAAUGCUAUAUGCAUUAUGCCAUAUAGCUGCCUAGAAUUUUAUGUAGUAAUAGAUAUUAUGUCCAUUUUAAAGAUGAUAAUUUAAAUGAUUCUGAGUGUUCUGGGAUCAUACAGUAGAAUCUGAAUUCAUCUCUCUAUUUUACUCAUGAUUUCAAAAUUCCUCUAUCCAAUGAGUCAUACAGAGGCAUAUCAAAUUGGAAAUAAGUGUGGUGUUCAGCUGUGUCAGCUCUACUAAUCCCUUCCUUCCACUUUUGUCUACUCCUCUUCAGGUAGGUGAGAGAAGAUCUUGGAUAGUAAUUAUGUGCAAUAUUUAUUCUGAUAAUCAUCCUACUAAGGGUAACUCCAAGAGUUAGGAAAAAUAAAAGAAAGAGAAAAUAGAAAGAAAGUCA
rnacentral:lncRNA from 1 species